GGUUCUAUAGCUCAGUAGGUAGAGCGUCGGACUGAAAAUCCGCAGGUCACUGGUUCAACUCCAGUUAGCACCACCA
rnacentral:tRNA from 1 species